CUCGGUUGGUCCGUUUCCCGCGAGGGGCGGGGCCACCGCCGCAGGGACCCGGACCCGGGGUCGCCAGCCGGGGUGGGCGGGAGGGGCCGGUCGGGUCACGUGGGCCGGCGAGCGGUGGAGUGCGGGGGCGGGGGUGGGGCUGCGAGGGGCAUCGGGAGGCCAUUUUGGGGACUUAGUGGCUGGCCGCCCUUGACGGCCCCCGCCCGGCCCCUGGACCAGGAUCCUCCAGCCAGAGCAUCUUCUCUCCUCAGCUGCAGAAGAGUCCCCCGCCUGCCGGCUUCUCGACGGGAAUCUCUGUCCAGACUCCUUUCUGCUCUUCACCUACCUCCGCAUAAGCCAGAAUACUCUUCCGUCGCAUUCUGCGGAAAAUAUCUUCCCGGUCCCCCGACGUCAGCACCUCCUCCACUUCAGCUCCGUCUCCCUUUUCCCCAACCUGAGCUGGAUCCCAAUCUUGGAUUCUCCACCCCUGUCUCCUGGCCUCCACAAAUCAUUCAGCCUGGCACCUUUUUCUCGGUAUGAACUCGUGAAUGGGGAAGAUGGUGGCUUUGGGAUCCGCCUGGCGGCAGUUGUGCAACCUUCCAAGAGGAAGGCGACCGCCUGCGCCAUCUUUGCACAGCUGCCGGCGUACAGGCCCCUGAUUCUCGAAGGAGGGUCCGCAGCGCCUCAAAGGGGUUUAAGACGUUCACCAGUGUGUUAUUUUUGAAUAAAGCGUGAGAGCUUUGGAAGCCCAGCAGGGGCAGUGCCCCUUCACAGAGAUUCAGGGAUAGUCUGGUGGCUGAAGGCCUAAAGUUUGGAAUUUUCCUCUUGGAGAAGUGCUGUUGGGAUAGCUGCGAUGCCCAGGUAAUGGUUCCUGCCACUUCAUCAACAAGCUGUGACAAGAAGUGGAGAGUGACAAGAAGUGGAGAGUAGCAUGCCUUCUACCUGGGUACUGUGAAUUUUGCUGACACAAAGGAUGUUCUCUACCUGGUGUUGGACAGAUCCUUGGAACUUCACGUCUUUCCUGUAUUAACCCGCGUGAGCAGCUGUCAAUCUCCUGGGGUGGAGGGAGGGGACUGCCUAGAAAUUUGGGGACCAAAAUCAAUUAGGUGGCCUUUACUUCGUCUUACCCAAAGGAUUCCAAUAAAAUAUUUUAAAGCAAAUAAAAAGUAGAUUGGUCUCAGUGAAAACAAGAUGGUACAGAAAGGUUUAGGGACAUGAAAGGUUAACCACCAGUGAAUGAGCAUCACAGUUGACGUCUAGCUGUACCUCUUUGCAGCCACAUACAAAAAGUAGAUUCGCCACAUAUUGACACCAAUGUUAAGGAUUUCUAGAUUGAUUGUGGUAGUAUUCUUAUAUUUGAGGUUUUUAUUAUGCCAUUAACACAGACAUCCAAUUUGCCUUUUGAUCAAUUGGUGAAAACAUAGGUUGUCCAGAUAUAUUUUAAAAGAAUAUACUGGUGGUUGCCAGGGGCAGGGAAUGAGGAAAUGAAGAGUUACUGUUUAAUGGGUAUAGUUUCCAUUUUAGAAGAUGAAAAGUGUUCACAGGGAUGGAUGGUGGUGAUGGUUGCUCAAUGUGAUGAAUGUGUUUGUUACCACUGAACCUUAUGCUUAAAAGUGGUAAAGAUGGGGAGGGGGAUAAAUUGGAAGAUUAGGAUUGACACAUACAUGCUACUACAUAUAAAAAAGGUAACUAAUAAGGAGCUAUUGUAUAGCACAGGGGAUUCUACUGAAUACUCUGUAAUGGCCUAUAUGGGAAAAGAA